AUGUACUUGGCGUGUCAUCAUGUAGACGUAGUACUUCCGAAGAGGAACUUGGCGCGUCCAAAAUCUUCGGGGAUAGACCUUGGACUUGGCGGUGGUCUCCUCGGGUCAACGGUGAUGUGCAUGGGCCGGAACGCCCGGCGGCUUGGGCUGCUCAAGGCCAUGGAGUUGACAGGUAGCAGGAGGCUGCUAGCGGAGGCAGAGCCACGACGAGGAGGUCAUGCUCCGGCGGCUGCAAGUGGUAGACGUACGCAGGCAGCGACAAGGCUUCGGGCGCGAGGAAGAAGGAUCCGGCACGAGGUGGCUGGUGGAGGAGCUCAUCUCACGCGUAGGGAAGGAGGUUGGGGCUAG
rnacentral:rRNA from 1 species